rnacentral:rRNA from 1 species
UGGAGCAUGUGGUUUAAUUCGAUGCAACGCGAAGAACCUUACCUGGGUUUGACAUAUACCGGAAAGCUGCAGAGAUGUGGCCCCCCUUGUGGUCGGUAUACAGGUGGUGCAUGGCUGUCGUCAGCUCGUGUCGUGAGAUGUUGGGUUAAGUCCCGCAACGAGCGCAACCCUAUCUUAUGUUGCCAGCACGUUAUGGUGGGGACUCGUAAGAGACUGCCGGGGUCAACUCGGAGGAAGGUGGGGACGACGUCAAGUCAUCAUGCCCCUUAUGUCCAGGGCUUCACACAUGCUACAAUGGCCAGUACAGAGGGCUGCGAGACCGUGAGGUGGAGCGAAUCCCUUAAAGCUGGUCUCAGUUCGGAUCGGGGUCUGCAACUCGACCCCGUGAAGUCGGAGUCGCUAGUAAUCGCAGAUCAGCAACGCUGCGGUGAAUACGUUCCCGGGCCUU